GGGGCAUUCGCGAUCAUUAUGGCACCGGAUCCCAGGGUCUAUUUAAACCCAUCCCUCUGCCUUUAGGGGCCCUAUUCCGCUCGAGAGUUCUAUCGGUAUCCACCCUUACUUCGAGAGUCCCAAUUCUCUUGGCGUCUUCUUGGGCCAUAGGCAUCCUUCGAGUCGUCCCUAUCCUUGCCCCUUCGCGUCCUUCAGAGCGAUCUAGGUUAGUCCCA
rnacentral:lncRNA from 1 species